rnacentral:rRNA from 1 species
UACGUAGGUGGCAAGCGUUGUCCGGAAUUAUUGGGCGUAAAGCGCGCGCAGGUGGUUUCUUAAGUCUGACGUGAAAGCCCACGGCUCAACCGUGGAGGGUCAUUGGAAACUGGGAGACUUGAGUGCAGAAGAGGAAAGUGGAAUUCCAUGUGUAGCGGUGAAAUGCGUAGAGAUAUGGAGGAACACCAGUGGCGAAGGCGACUUUCUGGUCUGUAACUGACACUGAGGCGCGAAAGCGUGGGGAGCAAACAGG